GGCGCGCAAAUUACCCAAUCCCGACACGGGGAGGUAGUGACAAUAAAUAACAAUAUAGGGCUCUAUUGGGUUUUAUAAUUGGAAUGAGUACAAUUUAAACCCCUUAACGAGGAACAAUUGGAGGGCAAGUCUGGUGCCAGCAGCCGCGGUAAUUCCAGCUCCAAUAGCGUAUAUUAAAGUUGUUGCAGUUAAAAAGCUCGUAGUUGAACUUCGAACCUGGUUAGGUGGUCUGCCUUACGGUACGUACUGCUCGGCCGGGUUCUACCUCUUGGUGAGCCGGCAUGUCCUUCACUGGGUGUGUCGGGGAACCAGGACUUUUACCUUGAGAAAAUUAGAGUGUUCAAAGCAGGCCUUUGCCCGAAUACAUUAGCAUGGCAUAAUAAAAUAGGACGUGCGGUUCUAUUUUGUUGGUUUCUAGAGUCGCCGUAAUGAUUAAUAGGGAUAGUUGGGGGCAUUUGUAUUCCGUUGCUAGAGGUGAAAUUCUUGGAUUUACGGAAGACAAACUUCUGCGAAAGCAUUUGCCAAGGAUGUUUUCAUUAAUCAAGAACGAAGGUUAGGGGAUCGAAAACGAUCAGAUACCGUUGUAGUCUUAACAGUAAACUAUGCCGACUAGGGAUCGGGCGAUCUCAAUCUUAUGUGUCGCUCGGCACCUUACGAGAAAUC
rnacentral:rRNA from 1 species